GCCUCAAUGGCUCAGCUGGUUAGAGCGCAGGUCUCAUACUUACUGUAUGACUGGAACUAGGAUGUCCGGGCAAUCCUGAGGUCGCAAGUUCGAACCUUGCUUGAGGCA
rnacentral:tRNA from 1 species